AAGCUCGUAGUUGAAUUUCGAAUGUGGCUGGGCGGUCCGCCUCACGGUGUGUACUGUCUGGCUGUGUUCUCUUUCUUGGUGAGCCGGCAUGCCCUUUACUGGGUGUGUUGGGGAACCAGGACGUUUACCUUGAGAAAAUUAGAGUGUUCAAAGCAGGCCUACGCCCGAAUACAUUAGCAUGGCAUAAUAAAAUAGGACGUGCGGUUCUAUUUUGUUGGUUUCUAGAGCCGCAGUAAUGAUUAAUAGGGAUAGUGG
rnacentral:rRNA from 1 species